rnacentral:rRNA from 1 species
GAGUUUGAUCAUGGCUCAGGAUGAACGCUAGCGAUAGGCUUAACACAUGCAAGUCGAGGGGCAUCACGGGAUUAGCUUGCUAAUUUUGGUGGCGACCGGCGUAAGGGUGCGUAACGCGUAUGCAACUUGCCUGUCAGUGGGGAAUAACCCGGAGAAAUCCGGACUAAUACCGCAUACACUUUAGUUUCCGCAUGGGGACUUUAGGAAAGAUUUAUUGCUGACAGAUAGGCAUGCGUUCCAUUAGAUAGUUGGUGAGGUAACGGCUCACCAAGUCAACGAUGGAUAGGGGAGCUGAGAGGCUUAUCCCCCACACUGGAACUGAGACACGGUCCAGACUCCUACGGGAGGCAGCAGUGAGGAAUAUUGGUCAAUGGGCGAGAGCCUGAACCAGCCAAGUCGCGUGAAGGAAGACGGUCCUAUGGAUUGUAAACUUCUUUAGUAGGUGAGUACAAGC